rnacentral:rRNA from 1 species
UACGGAGGGUGCAAGCGUUGUCCGGAUUUAUUGGGUUUAAAGGGUGCGUAGGCGGGUUUAUAAGUCAGUGGUGAAAGCCCAUCGCUCAACGAUGGAACGGCCAUUGAUACUGUAGAUCUUGAAUUAUUAGGAAGUAACUAGAAUAUGUAGUGUAGCGGUGAAAUGCUUAGAGAUUACAUGGAAUACCGAUUGCGAAGGCAGGUUACUACUAAUGGAUUGACGCUGAUGGACGAAAGCGUGGGGAGCGAACAGG